rnacentral:rRNA from 1 species
UACAGAGGGGGCAAGCGUUGUUCGGAAUUACUGGGCGUAAAGGGCGCGUAGGUGGCCUGCUAAGUCGAACGUGAAAUCCCUGGGCUCAACCCAGGAACUGCGUCCGAUACUGGUUGGCUUGAAUCCGGGAGAGGGAUGUGGAAUUCCAGGUGUAGCGGUGAAAUGCGUAGAUAUCUGGAGGAACACCGGUGGCGAAGGCGGCAUCCUGGACCGGUAUUGACGCUGAGGCGCGAAAGCCAGGGGAGCAAACGGG